UACGUGGGGUGCAAGCGUUGUUCGGGAUUACUGGGCGUAAAGCGUGUGUAGGCGGCUCGUUAAGUCUGACGUGAAAUCCCUGGGCUUAACCCAGGAACUGCAUCGGAAACUAGCGAGCUUGAGUCCGGGAGAGGGUAGUGGAAUUCCUGGUGUAGAGGUGAAAUUCGUAGAUAUCAGGAGGAACACCGGUGGCGAAGGCGGCUACCUGGACCGGUACUGACGCUGAGACACGAAAGCGUGGGGAGCAAACAGG
rnacentral:rRNA from 1 species